rnacentral:misc_RNA from 1 species
GAUGAAGAACGUAGUGAAAUGCGAUAAGUAAUGCGAAUUGCAGAAUCCGUGAGUCAUCGAAUCUUUGAACGCAUAUUGCGCCCUUUGGCAUUCCGAAGGGCAUGCCUGUUCGAGCGUCAUUAUCACCCCUCAAGCCCCGGCUUGGUGUUGGGCCCCCGGUGGUCGUACCCGACCACCCGCCUCAAAGAUAGUGACGGCGUCCCAGAGGGAACCGGUACGAGGAGCUUUCACGAGCAUGUACGCGGGACGACUCUGUGGGCGACGGUCUUUUUUAACCUUAAUAUAUCAAGUGUUGACCUCGGAUCAGGUAGGAAUACCCGCUGAACUUAAGCAUAUCAAUAAGCGGAGGA